UACGAAGGGUGCAAGCGUUACUCGGAAUUAUUGGGCGUAAAGCGUGCGUAGGUGGUUUGUUAAGUCUGUUGUGAAAGCCCCGGGCUCAACCUGGGAAUGGCAAUGGAUACUGGCAAGCUAGAGUGCGGUAGAGGGUAGUGGAAUUCCCGGUGUAGCGGUGAAAUGCGUAGAGAUCGGGAGGAACACCAGUGGCGAAGGCGGCUACCUGGACCAGCACUGACACUGAGGCACGAAAGCGUGGGGAGCAAACAGG
rnacentral:rRNA from 1 species